rnacentral:rRNA from 2 species
AAGCUUGCUUGUUGGGGUUGUAGGACACUCUAUACGGAGUUACAAAGGACGACAUUAGACGAAUCAUCUGGAAAGAUGAAUCAAAGAAGGUAAUAAUCCUGUAGUCGAAAAUGUUGUCUCUCUUGAGUGGAUCCUGAGUACGACGGAGCACGUGAAAUUCCGUCGGAAUCUGGGAGGACCAUCUCCUAAGGCUAAAUACUCUCUAGUGACCGAUAGUGAACCAGUACCGUGAGGGAAAGGUGAAAAGCACCCCGGAAGGGGAGUGAAAUAGAACCUGAAACCGUGUGCUUACAAGUAGUCAGAGCCCGUUAAUGGGUGAUGGCGUGCCUUUUGUAGAAUGAACCGGCGAGUUACGAUUUGAUGCAAGGUUAAGCAGUAAAUGUGGAGCCGUAGCGAAAGCGAGUCUGAAUAGGGCGUUUAGUAUUUGGUCGUAGACCCGAAACCAGGUGAUCUACCCUUGGUCAGGUUGAAGUUCAGGUAACACUGAAUGGAGGACCGAACCGACUUACGUUGAAAAGUGAGCGGAUGAACUGAGGGUAGCGGAGAAAUUCCAAUCGAACCUGGAGAUAGCUGGUUCUCUCCGAAAUAGCUUUAGGGCUAGCCUCAAGUGAUGAUUAUUGGAGGUAGAGCACUGUUUGGACGAGGGGCCCCUCUCGGGUUACCGAAUUCAGACAAACUCCGAAUGCCAAUUAAUUUAACUUGGGAGUCAGAACAUGGGUGAUAAGGUCCGUGUUCGAAAGGGAAACAGCCCAGACCACCAGCUAAGGUCCCAAAAUAUAUGUUAAGUGGAAAAGGAUGUGGCGUUGCCCAGACAACUAGGAUGUUGGCUUAGAAGCAGCCAUCAUUUAAAGAGUGCGUAAUAGCUCACUAGUCGAGUGACACUGCGCCGAAAAUGUACCGGGGCUAAACAUAUUACCGAAGCUGUGGAUUGUCCUUUGGACAAUGGUAGGAGAGCGUUCUAAGGGCGUUGAAGCAUGAUCGUAAGGACAUGUGGAGCGCUUAGAAGUGAGAAUGCCGGUGUGAGUAGCGAAAGACGGGUGAGAAUCCCGUCCACCGAUUGACUAAGGUUUCCAGAGGAAGGCUCGUCCGCUCUGGGUUAGUCGGGUCCUAAGCUGAGGCCGACAGGCGUAGGCGAUGGAUAACAGGUUGAUAUUCCUGUACCACCUAUAAUCGUUUUAAUCGAUGGGGGGACGCAGUAGGAUAGGCGAAGCGUGCGAUUGGAUUGCACGUCUAAGCAGUAAGGCUGAGUAUUAGGCAAAUCCGGUACUCGUUAAGGCUGAGCUGUGAUGGGGAGAAGACAUUGAGUCUUCGAGUCGUUGAUUUCACACUGCCGAGAAAAGCCUCUAGAUAGAAAAUAGGUGCCCGUACCGCAAACCGACACAGGUAGUCAAGAUGAGAAUUCUAAGGUGAGCGAGCGAACUCUCGUUAAGGAACUCGGCAAAAUGACCCCGUAACUUCGGGAGAAGGGGUGCUCUUUAGGGUUAACGCCCAGAAGAGCCGCAGUGAAUAGGCCCAAGCGACUGUUUAUCAAAAACACAGGUCUCUGCUAAACCGUAAGGUGAUGUAUAGGGGCUGACGCCUGCCCGGUGCUGGAAGGUUAAGAGGAGUGGUUAGCUUCUGCGAAGCUACGAAUCGAAGCCCCAGUAAACGGCGGCCGUAACUAUAACGGUCCUAAGGUAGCGAAAUUCCUUGUCGGGUAAGUUCCGACCCGCACGAAAGGCGUAACGAUUUGGGCACUGUCUCAACGAGAGACUCGGUGAAAUCAUAGUACCUGUGAAGAUGCAGGUUACCCGCGACAGGACGGAAAGACCCCGUGGAGCUUUACUGUAGCCUGAUAUUGAAAUUCGGCACAGCUUGUACAGGAUAGGUAGGAGCCUUUGAAACGUGAGCGCUAGCUUACGUGGAGGCGCUGGUGGGAUACUACCCUAGCUGUGUUGGCUUUCUAACCCGCACCACUUAUCGUGGUGGGAGACAGUGUCAGGCGGGCAGUUUGACUGGGGCGGUCGCCUCCUAAAAGGUAACGGAGGCGCUCAAAGGUUCCCUCAGAAUGGUUGGAAAUCAUUCAUAGAGUGUAAAGGCAUAAGGGAGCUUGACUGCGAGACCUACAAGUCGAGCAGGGUCGAAAGACGGACUUAGUGAUCCGGUGGUUCCGCAUGGAAGGGCCAUCGCUCAACGGAUAAAAGCUACCCCGGGGAUAACAGGCUUAUCUCCCCCAAGAGUUCACAUCGACGGGGAGGUUUGGCACCUCGAUGUCGGCUCAUCGCAUCCUGGGGCUGUAGUCGGUCCCAAGGGUUGGGCUGUUCGCCCAUUAAAGCGGUACGCGAGCUGGGUUCAGAACGUCGUGAGACAGUUCGGUCCCUAUCCGUCGUGGGCGUAGGAAAUUUGAGAGGAGCUGUCCUUAGUACGAGAGGACCGGGAUGGACAUACCUCUGGUGUACCAGUUGUCGUGCCAACGGCAUAGCUGGGUAGCUAUGUGUGGACGGGAUAAGUGCUGAAAGCAUCUAAGCAUGAAGCCCCCCUCAAGAUGAGAUUUCCCAACUUCGGUUAUAAGAUCCCUCAAAGAUGAUGAGGUUAAUAGGUUCGAGGUGGAAGCAUGGUGACAUGUGGAGCUGACGAAUACUAAUCGAUCGAAGACUUAAUCAA